rnacentral:lncRNA from 1 species
CACUUUUUAUUUUAGAAUCAAGAGAUGCAUAUGCAGGUUUGUUACAGAGGUAUAUGGGAUGCGGUUGAAGUUUGGAGUAUGAUUGAACUCAUCACGCAGGUACUGAGCAUAGUAUCCAGUAGUUUUUCAAUCCUUGUCCCCCUCUUUUCCUCCCCUUUCUAGUAGCCCUCAGCAUCUAUUGUUCCCAUCUUUAUGCCCAUGUGUACCCAAUGUUUAGUUCCCACUUAUAAGUGAGAACAUGCGGUAUUUUGUUUUCUGUUUCAGCAUUAGUUUGCUUAUGAUAAUGGCCUCCAGCUGCAUCCAUGUUGCUGCAGAGAGCGUGAUUCCAUUCUUUUAUAUGGUUGCAUAGUAUUUCUUGGUGUAUAUGUGCCACAUUUUCUUUAUCCAGUCCACCACUGACGGGCAUUUAUGUUGAUUCCAUGUCUUUGCUAUUGUGAAUAGUGCUGCCAUGAACACAUGGGUGCGUGUGUACUUUUGGUAGAACAAUUUAUUUUCCUUUGAGUAUACACCCAGAACAUUCAUGUGGUAGCCAAUACCUGGGAAAAUAAUCCCACUUGCCAGGCAGCAAACCGUGGCCCUCCGUUAGGGGGAUGGCAUCUCACACUCAUGAAGUGUUGAGUGUAUGGGUCCCUGGCCAGCUUUGGCAACUUGUGGUUACUGGGAAAACAGAGCUCUCUCUCCCCAAAUCAGGUGAAACUACAGGAAAACAGUAGGCAAGAGUCUUCAAAGUGAUGCAUCUCGAGAGAGAGAGGGCCUGGGUCUGAAUCAUGGCUUUGUGCCUUACCAGCCUGUGAUUCUAGUCACUUUACCUUCUGAGCCUUGUUUUUCCCAGCUGCAAAAUGAGUGUGAUAAUAGCGCUUGCUUCAGGGGAUUGUUUCAAGGAUCAGUUGAAAUAGUGCACACCGAAUGUUUGGCAUAUGUGCGGAGCUCUUUGGGGGUGACUCAUGGGCAACUGUUUUUCAUUUAAGAACUGAGUGGAUUGGACCUUUAAGAACUGCUUUGGUCCCACUGUCAUGGGAGGCCCUUAUCUUAGGCGAUGGCCAAAAGAACAGCUUUACAUUCAGUAAACUGUUUUAACUGAACCUCACCACAGGUUUACGGGUGGUGCUCGUUUCAUAAUGGAUAAAGAAUGGGUGUGGCUCAGUGUGGGGAAGUUGGUGGAUGGGGAGAGGGCAGCAGAGUAACCAGCUUUUAGUGGAGACCUGGAUUUGAGUGCCCUGAGUUAGUGGACAGGUUUUGUUUUGUUUCGCUUUGCUUCAGAUUCUUGGCUCAUGCCAAGUGCUGUGUGCCAUGGGUACAUCACCUGACCCUGAAGAGCCCAGAUCUAUGUCUUUUCAUGCAACCUUGCCCUGUGCUUUCCACAUAUUCACAUCCUUCACAGUCAAUCCCACCCUGGCCACUAGGCCAAUAGGGACUCCCCACAUCCCACUUACAGGGGGGCAAAUAUUUAUAGCCAAAAGAAAACAGAAGAUGUGGGUUUGAGUCACAGUUCCACUAUGUGGUCAUGGAUGAGUGCCUUCAACCCUCAGUACCUCAGUUUCCCUAAAUGUGCAGUGGGAGAGCAUGAGAACACUUAUCUGAUGUCUUCCCUGGGGUUUUGUGAGGAUUAAACACACCAUGUAGGGGCAAGUGCUUUGAGAAUGGAAAAGCACUGUGCAGACAUGAGUGAUGUGCAUGAUGGUUAUUGUUAGAUGUUCUCUCCUGGAAUCAAGUUCAAGCUUCUUGCAUACUCAGCAGAGAACAGACCCAAACUCCCGAAUCUAGUGCUGUGGCAUGUGGUUGGUGCUCAAUAAUGAUUUGUUGUGUGAACAAGUGCAUGAAUGAGUAGUAGGUCAAUGACCUCAAUGUGGGCCUGGUCAGGAUUUAGAUUUCUUGUCUUUGUGUGUGCUCAGCCCAGGACUGAAUGCACAGCAGGCUGUCAGGAAGUAGUCAUGGAUUGAUGUGUCC